AUGGUGGACGGACGUCCGCUCCUUGACGAUUGCUUUUAUUAAUAUGUAGGUGAUGACUCAAUUUAAAAAAUGAUCAAAUUGCUUACGAAUUUCUAUUCUCAAAUAUAGAAAUUGAAGUAAAAGUUCAAUACAAAAGUUCAAACGUUAAUAGUUACAACUGCUAUUAUUAAUCGGUAGAUGGGAAGAUUUAAAAACGUGGUCGCCAACCUUCAAUAAGAAGACGGUAUGAGAAGAAGAAGAUGAGAAGAUGUCAAAUGAUAAAGUAUAGGUAUAUCUUCCGAAAUGAUAGAUACACUUAUGACGAUUGAAAUUGCGAAAACGUUGCUUAGGCGUAUUAUCAAUAAUCGACUUAAUUUUUUCUAUUCUUCUAUCGAUUGAAAACAAUUCCUCAAGAUGUUGUUUUGUUAUUUAAAAAAAGUGAAUUUUACCGAAGCCAUAUUAGUUUAAUAUACAAGUUAAUCCUUGAGAAUAAUAGUCUUGUGAAAUGGUGCUGUGCCCAAAUAAUAGUAGAAUAGUAAAAAUAUAUUUGUGGAAGGAAUUUAACAACUAUAUUUUAUAGAAUUCAACGAUUAUUUCCAAUGUUUAAGUCAGUUGAGGCUCAAAAUAAAUAUGCAAAUUGAAGCAAAUCUUCAGCCUGUCAUUUUCAAUCAAAUUUGUUUGCAAUGCAAAGUAUAUUCUUGUUUUGUUUCCAUUACAGAAACCGAAAAAAACACAUUUGAGAUAGACUGGUAACAAAAUAAUUGUGCUAAAAUACUUGUUACUCUUGCUGUUUACCAAAUUAGGACUGUAAAUGCACCAAGCGGGGCGCAGCAUUUUCGGCCUUGCCGCCGGCAUAAAUUGUUGGGACAAAUGUGUCAACUUGUAGAUCUCUUGUUUUCCAUACAAGGAAGAUUGACGUUGGUAAUUUGUUUGUUAGUGCAUGUGGCCCUAAAAAUUACUACCAAGAAAAUAUAAGAUGAGGCACAGGUUUUGGGUACGACCUAGUUAAAACAAAAAUCUGGCCAUAAAUAUUAGAAUAUCUUUUCCAAAUUAUACUAGAAUGAGUGCACUCGAUUUUUGGGAAACUUAUUUAUCUUUAAUUGUAUAAAAAGUAACACAAAUUACAAAGAUGUUAUAUCGGUUGCGAAACAAUAAACAAAAUCAAAUAGCGCCACAUUAAAAUAUACCGUUUGAUACAAAUAUUUAAAUGAAAACACGUGUUUAUAAAGAUACUGCCCGUGUAGCCGGUUGAAGUAAGGAGUGUCCAAAUAAUCGCUUGCUUCAUGCGAUACUUACACUCUCGCUAUGCAGGGAGAUUUGAAGUUUUGGAUUGGUCUUUAUAAAUUGGUAUACGAACCAAUAUAUUACGCUGGAAUUACCUUCUCUAAAUUUUCUAGAGAUACAUUUGUCACAUGAUCGAUCUUUCUGAAUAAACAUAUCACCAUUUGCUUAUUAAUUAUUCAAGAACAAGAUGCUGUUCCUAAUUUUCUCCAUAUUAAAAUAAACUACGGAUAAGCAUAACUAUUGUUAUGGCUCCUAGGUAAGAAUCUUCUACUUUGCUUAAGCGCGGUAUCUAUGUUUUCUGCCGCAACCACCGACUCUAAACGGUGUUUUUCCAUUACAUGCGUAUGCAAACUAGGAUCGUAUUUGAAUUUAUUGUAUCAUAGAUAAAUAGUGGCCUUGAAUGGUGGUUCAUCGCCAAAAUUUCUUUGAUAUUAUGUUCUUGAGUUAAAUCACAUUUCAUUUUUGAAUAUUUUAAUUUGACAGAGUCCAUUAGGCAACAUUAAUAUUGACAGGUGAAGAAUUCACUCAUAUGAGCAUGUUAACUUGAGAAUAUAAAAGUAAAUACAUCAAAACUCUGCAAUAUAUCGAAUUUUAAUAAUAAGGAUAAAAAUUGGGCCAUGGAAGACUAAAUUGUAUUACAGAAUUAAUGAUAGGAAAAAUGUUGAUUAUUACUCUGGUUAUGUAAAAAAGUUUAUAUAAUUUGUAGUUCAAGGUUCAAAAUCAGUUUUCUUAGUUGCUUCAGAAUUACACAAUCGGUCAAUUAGUAUAUUAUUGCAAUGUUUCAGAAUAUUGAAUAUAAAAUUGUGUAUGUGUAUCAUGUAUGUUUUUUCAAUUAUCAUAUCUUAUUAUAAUAUAUCUGGAAAUCUGGUUUUGUCCACUGUGUGUGAAAUAAGAAUGAUGUUUGAUUAUUGGGACAAUAAAAUGUUAAAGUGUACUCCUAAUAAUAUAUAUUCCAUGCUCUCGAAUAACUGUGCAUUUAUCUACGGGAAACUAAUAAAUUGAGAAUCGUCGAAUUGAAUAUGAGAAUAACAUUGGAUAUAGACAUUUUGAUAUGUUUUAUUAUAAAAUUUCAUACUUCUAAUUUGUAUUAAUCACUUCACCGAAGAUAAAUACACAUUUAUUCCAAAGCUUGGAACAUAUAUUAAAAAUUUUACAAUUUGGUAUUUUAUUACCAUAAUCCCAUAAUAAUAAUAUUUAUAUAGGGUUUUCAUAUUUUGUUCUUUGGCCUUUCAUUUACCAGAAAUUAAUUAACCGAGAAUAAGGGUAUUAGAUCUUUAACAUAGAAUACUAAAUUCAUAUAAUUCAAAAUACAACUCAAUAUUUAUGUCUAUUUCAUUUUCAUCAUUUAUAUACAGUCGAACCUGGAUGAGCGAGAGUUCAAGGGAUCGCUUAUACAGGUUUCUCACUAAACCCUGUUUCUACUUUAUAGAGGUACAGAACAGGUUUAUGAAAAAUACAGCCAAUACGUAAUGAGGGAGAUCCACAGGUAUAUUGUAUAGGUAUUAUUCAUUGUGAUAUAGAUGCUUGCGAAAAAAACUUACACUAAAAAUAAUAACAAUAUUUAUUUAAAGAAAUUCGUUGAUUUCUUCUGAGUUCCUAGUUUUACAUUUUGUAUAUGUUUUUCGAGUUUAUAAAUUUCAUCAAAUAUUGUUUUAUUAACUACCGUCAAGGAUUUAAAAAAACUUGUGGGCCAUCUCCAGUUCAUAUAAAGCGUUUUGCUUCUUGGAAUGUUCCUCACUUCUAUAUUCAAAAUCUGUGAUCGGUUGCCUUAAUCUUCACUAUCAUUUCCGUCAGCACACACAAUUCUGGUUGCCACGUCGUCGUAAAUCUGUAUAAAGUUUUCCAAGUUUAGCGUUAACAUAUUAUCAGUAGUUUUGUGAGUCACAAGUUUGACCCAUUCCUUCGUUGCUAGCUCCAAAUUCAACCAUAUUUUUUUUAGGCAGAAAGUCUUGGAAUACUUUUUUUAGCCAAUCUUCAAAUAAUAUCUUUGUUACCUAAGUUUUGAUAAUACUAGCAUAAUCAACAGGUACAGUCUUGACACCCUUAAAACAUUUAGGUCACUUGGAUUUUUCGAUGACGAAAAGAGGAAGUUUGUCUGCACCCAUCAUAUUUACACAUUAAAGAAUAGCCAAACUUUCCUUGUUUUGUUUUCCUUGAUGGCAUUUUUCGCCUUCAAAUGUAAAUGUUCUAAGACACUUGAAGAAUAAAUCAGCUUAGCCGCGUUGUGAAUAUCUUCUGCAUCAUGCCCUUCUAAAAGACUUGGCAGAUCUUCGGUCCAUUGGUUAAGCACGCUUUAGUCCACAACUUACGCUUUUCAAAACCUUCCAACUAACCAGCGACGUCUUUAAAUUUUUGUUUUAAUAAAGGUUCAUCUAUGGGAAUAUUUUUAUUUAGGGUUUGUUUCAUCCAUUCUUCUCGUUCGAUUUUAUAAUUUUAUGAAAGGUUGAUUCUAGUAAAUCAAACUCAUUAUGUAUGCCAAUUCGCGAUUUCCAGGACUCAAAAACAUUUUACCAUUACAUACAUACAUACAUACAUACAUACAUACAUACAUACAUACAUACAUUACAUACAUACAUACAUACAUUACAUACAUAUAUACAUUACGUACAUACAUUACUUACAUACAUUACAUACAUACAUUACAACACUUUGAUAUGUCGUUUCAGUAUUGUGAGUAUGGGCGGAACCUCCCAUCGCAACAAAUACCUAUCAAUUAUUUAAGAAAACAACAACAAAGUCAUUUUCACUAAAUUAACGAAUGAGUUAUAGAUAGCAGACAUCUCAAUAUUUGGAAAAUAGAUUAAAAAGUCAUCAACACAAUAUAAAAACUGUAUUAAUAAACGGUGUAAUAUAAAAAAACAUGAAUUUAAUUAUAAAAAUUCAAAAACUCUUGAAGCAAAGUCAAAUACAAGGAAUUUUUCGAAAUGGUCAUAUACAUAAAAAAACAGUAAUCAAUGAUAAAAAAGACAAUUAAAGUAAAAUUUAUAAUUUUAUUUUAUGAAUUUUAAUGAAUGAAUGAAUUAAACUAUAUAUAAUUUGAUUGAUUGUUGCUACUUAUUUUAGGACAUUUAUAACAACUUAUACCGCAAUAGGUCGAAACGUUAAGAUAUUAUCAGUUUUUAAAUGAGAUUUCAAUUUAAUGACACCUAAAAUUAAAUUUAUCAACAAAACAAUAUAAAAAAGGUCUAGAAGCCACUCGACUCAAGUAUAUCUCAUCUUCUUGUCGCCACUUUCUUACACUUUAAUCUGAAACCGAUUUGUGAUUCUUCGGAAAGAUCAUUAUCUGAUGCUGAAUGUCCAAGUCUAUUGAGAGAAGAAUUCAUUUGUCUGAUAGUAGGCAUCAAUCAAUAUGUUUUAAAUAUUUGUAUAAAAAGAUGGAUUUGGGAAUAGUAUGUUUCUUUUUCGAUUAAGUUCAACUAUUCUGAAGAUAUAACCAAAACUAAGAUGGCUUAAAAAUAAACAAAAAUAGUGUCUAUUAAUAGCAACAAUAUCUCAACUCAUACUGUUCUUCUUUCAAUUACAAUUGAAAACUGAAGAAAUGCAAAUUAAUAAGAAACAAUCAAGAAAUAUUUCAACUCACCAUACAACCUAAAUCUUCGUCAGCGUAUAAUCCUGGGAAAUGUUUCUGAUCCCCGCAAUAAAAUGAAGUUUCAGGUAAUUCUACUCUUGAGGCAAAAUUGUCAUCAAAAUUCUUAUCAUAACCUACAGGAUAAUACUCCUUAGGAGCAUUCAUAACUUUUCCUACACUAUUAGCAUAUUUAUUUGAAUAUCUAGGAGUAGUAGAUAUGGGUUUAAUCCUCAUUGGUGGUAAUGGUAGUGGUCUAUGAGUUACCAUGUCAAAGUCGUCUUCUAUUAAAGAAUUGUUAUCUGGAAGUGAUAAUUGUGAUAUAACCUCGUUAUUACUGGCUCCUGUUCCUUGAAGUAUCUUUACUGCGAAAUUAUCAUUAAUGUUUUUAUCUUGAGCACGAACAUUCAUGUCCUUUUUGGGUACAGCAAUCACAGCCAUGAGUUCAGGACUCGGUAAUUUUCCUAAAAGAAAAGUGUUUUGAAAUUUUGUGUUUUUUAGAAAAAAAACCAAUUGAUUUAUAUUUAACUUUCACAACUGUGACAAAUAUUCAGUAUUAUAACCAGUUAAAUAUAUUUGUUUUCCAAACUUUUUUUUAUAAAAAACUUUGGGUAUAACGUAAUCAUCUCAAUAUUAUUAUUGUAAAACAAUGGUUUGCGAAAAAAGUAGUGGAAGGAAUCAAACCAAUAAAAACAGAAAUACAGUUCAAUACCAAUUUUGUCGGAAUAUUUACAAAUACACCCCGACCAGAUAAUUUAGACAUAAAUGGCUCAUAUGCAAUGAAUUAUUAGUUUAACCCUCCGUCGGUCGAACCUUUUUCUAUUAAAAAGAUAUCGCAAUGUGUCAAAUUGAUAGAUCUAAUUUUUGCUUAGAAUUACACUAAAAACAUUAGUUCUUGUAUCAAGCUAAGUUGUAGAUUAAAUCCAAUAAUUAAUUUUGCUCAUCCUUUUAUUUGCUUGUUUAAGUAUGUUGUGAUCACAAAAAAAAGUUAUUUCGGUGAUUUACGGGUAAAAAAUUAUCGACAGCGAUGCUUGCAAUGUAUUUGUUUGAUACAUGAUUGUAAAAUUUACUAACGAGAAGUGUCUGGUUUUAGUUGUUAUGUUUUUUAUAUUUAUGUUUUUAGUAUGAUUUGAAAUAUUUAUGUUAUGAAACUCAUACAGAAAUAUAACGUAAGUAGCUAGGUACUCAUAUAAAAUAAUUUUAUUUCCUACAUUGUAGAUUGGCAACACAAAUAAAAUCUGGCAUUCUUAUGUAACACAAACAAAAAAUAUAUACUUGUAAUCUUAGAAACAUUUGAAAUAAAAAUAUUUAGAGAGGC